rnacentral:rRNA from 1 species
UACGGAGGGAGCUAGCGUUGUUCGGAAUUACUGGGCGUAAAGCGCACGUAGGCGGCUUUGUAAGUUAGCGGUGAAAUCCCGGGGCUCAACCUCGGAACUGCCUUUGAUACUGCAAAUCUCGAGUCCGGAAGAGGUGAGUGGAAUUCCUAGUGUAGAGGUGAAAUUCGUAGAUAUUAGGAAGAACACCAGUGGCGAAGGCGGCUCACUGGGCCGGUACUGACGCUGAGGUGCGAAAGCGUGGGGAGCAAACAGG